ACGACCUUACUUGAACAGGAUCUGUUCUAUAGGCUCGUACCUCUGUAUCCUUGAUUUCUAAGGAGACAGGCCCUUAACCCUGGUUGAUGAACCAUGACCGUGCGAUCAGAGCGUGAUUAACGGCUACGGUCGUCCUUGGGCGCAUCCGUUGCUGUAGAGGAUCGUUACUCGGCUCGGUUCUACCUUGCCGGGGUGGUCGCACGGCGGUCUGACAGGUU
rnacentral:snoRNA from 1 species